rnacentral:rRNA from 1 species
GACGAACGCUGGCGGCGUGCUUAACACAUGCAAGUCGAACGAUGAACCCGGAGCUUGCUCCGGCGGAUUAGUGGCGAACGGGUGAGUAACACGUGAGUAACCUGCCCUUGACUCUGGGAUAACUGCGGGAAACUGUAGCUAAUACCGGAUACGACCCUCGGCGGCAUCGCCAGGGGGUGGAAAGAAUUUCGGUCAAGGAUGGACUCGCGGCCUAUCAGCUAGUUGGUGAGGUAACGGCUCACCAAGGCGACGACGGGUAGCCGGCCGGAGGGGGUGACCGGCCACACUGGGACUGAGACACGGACCAGACUCCUACGGGAGGCAGCAGUGGGGAAUAUUGCACAAUGGGCGCAAGCCUGAUGCAGCAACGCCGCGUGAGGGAUGACGGCCUUCGGGUUGUAAACCUCUUUUAGUAGGGAAGAAGCGAAAGUGACGGUACCUGCAGAAAAAGCACCGGCUAACUACGUGCCAGCCGCCGCAGUAA